rnacentral:rRNA from 1 species
GAUGAACGCUAGCUACAGGCUUAACACAUGCAAGUCGUGGGGCAUCAUGAUGUAGUAAUACAUUGAUGGCGACCGGCGCACGGGUGGGUAACGCGUAUCCAACCUACCCUCCACUCAAGUAUAGGCUUCCGAAAGGGAGAUUAAUCCUUGAUAUCGUCAUUCUCUCUCCUGUUAGAAUGAUAAAAGGACAUCGUUUCGGUAGAGGAUGGGGAUGCGUUCCAUUAGGUAGUAGGUGGUUUAACAGGCCACCUAGCCGAUGAUGGAUAGGGGUUCUGAGAGGAAUAUCCCCCACACUGGUACUGAGAUACGGACCAGACUCCUACGGGAGGCAGCAGUGAGGAAUAUUGGUCAAUGGGCGCAAGCCUGAACCAGCCAUGUAGCGUGAAGGAUGACGGUUUUUUUGAUUGUAAACUUCUUUUCUGUGCGAAUAAAAGU